rnacentral:rRNA from 1 species
AUGGAUCUCAUGGAUCCCUUCACCUCCGAGCUUCUUUCUGGCCCUCCUAUCCCCGUCGCCUUAUCAGCCAACAGCGCCGACACGGCGGACAUCGACGACUACCUCCGCCCCAUCAAUGCUCUUCCUGCGCUUCGAGCCGCCGACCACUACUCCGAGGCGGCCUUGGAGGAGCCCGUACCAUCCCUGCUCCUGGAGACCGCCGUCCCGGUCUCCGAUGCCACUGAAUCCAACAACUCGGCCACGCGUCCGCAGCUCUCCGACUACGACGCCGACAUUGACUUCAACCUCCGCAAGCUGGAGAUGAACGUCGAGGAGCCGCCGAGGCCAGACUACCUGAAGACGGUGCAGGGAGAUCGGAUGAGCCCGUCCAUGCGCGCCAACCUUGUUAUCUGGAUGGACGGGCUUACUCGGUACUACGGCCUGGCCCCCGGCACGCUUCACCGCGCCGUCUCCUACGUCGACCGCGUGCUAUCAGCGCGAACCUUACCUACGACUAACAUGGAGUAUGAGCUCCAUCUCCUGGGCGCCACGGCCGCCUUCACCGCCGCCAAAUAUGAGGAGCGGGACACCAUAUUCAAGGUGGACGCCGCGAAAAUUGCCAACGACUGUGGGUUCGCCACGAGCAAGGAGGUGAUCGACGUGGAGUGCAAGAUGUUGGCGGUGCUCCGGUACGAGCUCAGCGAACCAACGGCCUACACCUUUGUGGACCACUUCACCAGGUACAGUAAUGGAGAGAGCGACCUGGAGGUUCAGAAGUUGGCGCAUCAGCUCGCCGAACAAUCGCUCGUCCACUACAGAUGCCUGCGGUUCAUGCCAUCGGCCGUGGCGGCGUCGGCGGUCUUUCUGGCAAGGCUGAUCUUGAACCCAAUGGCGAGCUAG